AUAUUAUUGAGUUAUAUGAAACAAAUUCAUUGUCGCUUAUGUUUUUCAUAAAAAAAAUAAAGUCAAAAUGCUUAUAUAUGUUGUAAACCUUCUAGUAAAUACCACCGUUUUGGAAAUGAUGAGAAAACAAGAACAGAUAAGUUAAUAUAUGAUUCUUAAAAGAAAAUAUACUUUAUAGGUUUAGACUAACAUAAUAUCUGGACAUUCAUUUAGUUCAAAAAUUUUUAAAUGAUCUAGUGUAGUUUCUUGAAGGCAACAUAGGUUAUUUUGCAGUUAUCAAAAAGCUAUUUUGUUAUUAUAUGGACUCUGCUUGGGAUUUUUUUUUUUAAUUUUUAUUUAUUUAUGAUAGUCACAGAGAGAGAGGCAGAGACACAGGCAGAGGGAGAAGCAGGCUCCAUGCACCGGGAGCCCGACGUGGGAAUCGAUCCAGGGUCUCCCGGAUCGCCUCCUGCGCCAAAGGCAGGCGCCAAACCACUGCACCACCCAGGGAUCCCUCUGCUUGGGAUUUGUAAUGCACUAUGCAAACAUUAAAUUUUAUAUUCAACUAAUUGUUUUAGAAAUGUUCUGAGAAUGGACCCCGUUCUGAGGAUGGAUUCCCAUUUGGAAGAAGAGAGGAGAGAGUGUUCUGCGCUCACUGCACUGAAAGUACGUUUGGUUCACAGAAAUACAGAGAAAAAUAGAAGGUGGAGUGACUAUCCUUGGCCAUCAACCCAAACAUCUUUAUCCAAAAGAGGUAAGAGGAAUAAAUUCUGUCAUUGCAUUCCUUUCUGUAAUGUUGAGAGACACCGAGAGUACUAGAGCUAG
rnacentral:lncRNA from 12 species